CCUACGGGAGGCGGCAGUGGGGAAUAUUGGGCAAUGGACGCAAGUCUGACCCAGCAACGCCGCGUGAAGGAAGAAGGCUUUCGGGUUGUAAACUUCUUUUAAGGGGGAAGAGCAGAAGACGGUACCGAAUGAAUAAGCCACGGCUAACUACGUGCCAGCAGCCGCGGUAAUACGUAGGUGGCAAGCGUUAUCCGGAUUUACUGGGUGUAAAGGGCGUGUAGGCGGGAGAGCAAGUCAGACGUGAAAUUCCAGGGCUCAACCCUGGAACUGCGUUUUAAACUGUUCUUCUUGAGUGAUGGAGAGGCAGGCGGAAUUCCGUGUGUAGCGGUGAAAUGCGUAGAUAUACGGAGGAACACCAGUGGCGAAGGCGGCCUGCUGGACAUUAACUGACGCUGAGGCGCGAAAGCGUGGGGAGCAAACAGGAUUAGAUACCCCGGUAGUC
rnacentral:rRNA from 1 species